UGGGAGUGUUUGGGCGGUCUCAAGUUCAAGCCUUCGCGUGGGUAAAUUUUGGUAUUUUGAAUGAAUUAGGCUUUACUCUUGUUUAGUAGUCUUUUAUUUGAUUGUUGGGUAAAUUACAUCAGAAUGGGCCUGCUGGUCUAGUGGUUAAAUGGUUUGUUAUUAUGGUGGAGGUCUCGUGUUCAAAUCCUUAUGCAGGCAAGGGUAUUAUUUUUUUUACUCAGAUUUCGGGAUAGAGUUGUGU
rnacentral:lncRNA from 1 species